rnacentral:tRNA from 1 species
CAGCAGCUCAGUGUAAGAGUGCUUGCCUAGUAUGCAAAGGGCUCUGAGUUUAAUUCUCAGUGCUGG